GCGGCGUGCUUAACACAUGCAAGUCGAGCGAUGAAGUUUCCUUCGGGAAACGGAUUAGCGGCGGACGGGUGAGUAACACGUGGGUAACCUGCCUCAUAGAGUGGAAUAGCCUUCCGAAAGGAAGAUUAAUACCGCAUAAUGUUGAAAGAUGGCAUCAUCAUUCAACCAAAGGAGCAAUCCGCUAUGAGAUGGACCCGCGGCGCAUUAGCUAGUUGGUGGGGUAACGGCCUACCAAGGCGACGAUGCGUAGCCGACCUGAGAGGGUGAUCGGCCACAUUGGGACUGAGACACGGCCCAGACUCCUACGGGAGGCAGCAGUGGGGAAUAUUGCACAAUGGGGGAAACCCUGAUGCAGCAACGCCGCGUGAGUGAUGAAGGUUUUCGGAUCGUAAAGCUCUGUCUUUGGGGAAGAUAAUGACGGUACCCAAGGAGGAAGCCACGGCUAACUACGUGCCAGCAGCCGCGGUAAUACGUAGGUGGCGAGCGUUAUCCGGAUUUACUGGGCGUAAAGGGAGCGUAGGCGGAUGAUUAAGUGGGAUGUGAAAUACCCGGGCUCAACUUGGGUGCUGCAUUCCAAACUGGUUAUCUAGAGUGCAGGAGAGGAGAGUGGAAUUCCUAGUGUAGCGGUGGAAUGCGUAGAGAUUAGGAAGAACACCAGUGGCGAAGGCGACUCUCUGGACUGUAACUGACGCUGAGGCUCGAAAGCGUGGGGAGCAAACAGGAUUAGAUACCCCUGGUAGUCCACGCCGUAAACGAUGAAUACUAGGUGUGGGGGUUUCAACACCUCCGUGCCGCCGCUAACGCAUUAAGUAUUCCGCCUGGGGAGUACGGUCGCAAGAUUAAAACUCAAAGGAAUUGACGGGGACCCGCACAAGUAGCGGAGCAUGUGGUUUAAUUCGAAGCAACGCGAAGAACCUUACCUACACUUGACAUCCCUUGCAUUACUCUUAAUCGAGGAAAUCCCUUCGGGGACAAGGUGACAGGUGGCGCAUGGUUGUCGUCAGCUCGUGUCGUGAGAUGUUGGGUUAAGUCCCGCAACGAGCGCAACCCUUGUCGUUAGUUACUACCAUUAAGUUGAGGACUCUAGCGAGACUGCCUGGGUUAACCAGGAGGAAGGUGGGGAUGACGUCAAAUCAUCAUGCCCCUUAUGUGUAGGGCUACACACGUGCUACAAUGGCUGGUACAGAGAGAUGCAAUACCGCGAGGUGGAGCCAAACUUAAAAACCAGUCUCAGUUCGGAUUGUAGGCUGAAACUCGCCUACAUGAAGCUGGAGUUACUAGUAAUCGCGAAUCAGAAUGUCGCGGUGAAUACGUUCCCGGGUCUUGUACACACCGCCCGUCACACCAUGAGAGUUGGCAAUACCCGAAGUCCGUGAGCUAACCGCAAGGAGGCAGCGGCCGAAGGUAGGGUCAGCGAUUGG
rnacentral:rRNA from 1 species